AACGAACGCUGGCGGCAGGCCUAACACAUGCAAGUCGAGCGAAGCCUUCGGGCUUAGCGGCGGACGGGUGAGUAACGCGUGGGAACGUGCCCUUUGGUACGGAAUAGCCCCGGGAAACUGGGAGUAGUACCGUAUGUGCCCUUCGGGGGAAAGAUUUAUCGGCAAAGGAUCGGCCCGCGUUGGAUUAGGGAGUUGGUGGGGUAAUGGCCUACCCAGCCGACGAUCCAUAGCUGGCUGGAGAGGAUGAUCAGCCACACUGGGACUGAGACAAGGCCCAGCCUCCAACGGGAGGCAGCAGUGGGGAAUCGUAGACAAUGGGGGAAACCCCGAUCUAGCCAUGACGCGUGAUCGAUGAAGGCCUUAGGGUUGUAAAGAUCUUUCAGUGGGGAAGAUAAUGACUGUGCCCACAGAAGAAGCCCCGGCUAACUCCGUGCCAGCCGCCGCAGUAAAAC
rnacentral:rRNA from 1 species